CUUUUCUCCCCUCAUAUCGUUCGUGAUCGAGCGAGGUUGGUGGCGACUCGGCGUUAUCCGCAACACGUGGAGCAAGACGGCCCAUGUACUACUCAAGGCCCGUAAAGGCGGCCCAUGUUCCAUGAUUUCUUCCACUGUCAGGUAUCUCCUCCACCCUAGCCGCCGUCGCUCCGCCUGCUGCUACCCCGAUCCGGGCGAGAGUACGCCGGCGCCGGAAAACGUAUAGCUGCUGUGAGACGAACUGUAUCAAUGAUGAGCUCACGAGGCACUAGUGCUAUGCUUUCAAGAGCUGCUCGGAUGAGGCAAAAGCUACAGUCUGCUUUGGAGGCCAGUGCGCUAGAUAUUGAAGAUGUUUCUUACCAACAUGCUGGGCAUGCAGCUGUCAAGGACAAUGCAAAUGAGACACAUUUUAACAUCAGGGUAAUUUCGCCUAAGUUUGAGGGCCAGAGCCUUGUGAAGCGUCACAGGAUGGUGUAUGACCUCUUGACUGAUGAGUUGAACUCAGGACUUCAUGCUAUCUCAAUUGUUGCAAAAACUCCCAAGGAGUCAGGAUCCUAAAUGUCAAAAAUUGCACAACUUCUGUUGUCAGUGAACAUCUGUGCUCAUGAAAAUUUGUGGAAAACAUAAACCAUGUGGAUAUGGAGGAAUUCAAAAUAUCAGGCCUCACUUGGAACAUACACCCUCCAUCCCAAAAAGAGUUUAUUUGGGCUAUUCAGCUAGACAAAAAUCUAAAGAGUUUAUAUUAGCGAGGCUCCUGCGAAAGCUGAGACUAUUGCAAACAAUGUGUCGGUUACUGUUUGCUGGAGAAUCCAUGAGCAGGAGUAGAGAUGCAGCUUUCUGGCCAAUCUGAUGUGUAGAAGCGUGUCAUGUAAAACAGCAAUUUACCUGGUUGGACAAGAAUUCUUAAAGUUGUAUGGGUCGUCUUCUUCUCUUUGUGUGUGUGUGUGUGUGUGUGUGGUUCAAAAUUAUACUGAGCAACAUUUUUUGUUUAUCUAUGUUUGGUGAAACUCAGUUACAUAAUUCACCCUU